ensembl:lncRNA
CAGGACCAGCGCAGACGGAAACAGAAAGCAGCAACUGCAGGCUAAGCGCGCUUUACUGAGCAUAUACAACAGCACACAGGAAGCAAAGAACCCCGUCCAUUCAAAUGAAGGGCUAACUGGGGAAGCGGCUGCCUGAUUUCGCAUCCUGCACCCAUGAUAGGAAAGAAGUUCUCAGGGUGUGUGUGGGCGGCACAGGGAGUGUCGCCUGGGGCUCGGGGUCCCCUUCUGCAAUGGAAGUAACAUCCACGGUAUCACCUGGAACCAACUCUUCCCGGGAUGCACAGCCCUGAGCCGCAAUGUUUUGGUCAACAACGGAACAGACGGAUGACUUUGCAGCCGCCGCAGUUUGUGUAAGGACAGGCCCCGGGUCUGCACCACGAUGAAACUGCCACUCCUCAGAGAGCGUCCUGCUCCUCCAGCACCGCGAGGGCUGACUGAACUGGAGUGGUCGGGGCGCUGCUCACCGGGUGUGCCGUACAGGCUGCUCCAUGCCUUCGUGCCUUUUCUUGGUCCACACAGCAAGCUGCAACCCAGAGCGACUGACGGCAAUGAAAGAAAUGAUCAUGAAACACAUGGGGUCCGCCCAUGUUCACAUCUUUUCUUCUUACACAUGACUUCGCUGGGAGCUCGCGUGCAGCAGAUAUUCCCAAAGCACUGACCGGAAGCUGGCACUCUUAGCUCCUGAGGCCACUUUCCGUUCACACUCCUCAUUUCACAGAACCCGCUCAUGCAGGGUUACUUGGGCCUGGCACCAGGACAUGGAUGGAGGAGCCGGCCUGGGUCUUCUGGAAAAGUGUUUCAUGGUUCUCAGACAUUUCCCUAAGUCUGCCUGAGAGAUCUUCUCUCUAAUACAGGAGCAAAGCAGUGAUAAGGGUCAGGCAGAAGGGAGGGAACUAGAACCCCAACAUUCACUAGCCUGGGUCAUCAGGACAAGAGACAUCCUUGUCAGAUUUCUGCUUCCAGUGCUACGUGAGAGGCUUUGAAAUAAUGGAGUCAGAGGCAGUUCUAGGCUCCUUUUUUGGGCAACUUGGGGUCCAACAUUACCGGCUGUCACCUGCCAUCCUGGUGGGCAGAACAGAGGGCGGGCCUCUGUUGACCACGCCUAGAAGGACACUACAAAUGUUUUGUCCCACGGGUGAGCAAGAAAAUAGAGCAGGAAGAGCAGGAAAUCACUGUCCCCACACGGCUGCGCUGUCUACUGUGAAGGGCUGAACGCGUUCCCGGGUCACCAGACGACAGCCACUUGGAGCUGCUUCCAUCCCUUGUGAAGCCAAGCUCAUCUACCAAGCACCUCCCAGCUUCUGUGAGCACCAUGCACCUUCCUUGGACUGGAAAAUGAUUUGGAAAAGGGGGACUGGCUCUUCCACUAAUACGUCCUUGAUCAGGAAGGGUCUGGUGUGUUAGCCCUGAACCAGCAACCCAGUUUAAUUCCUUACUUUAUUUGUUUAAAAAUGGAACUUGUAGCAAAAGUGGACAUGCUGUCCAGAAAAGAGCAAUAAGAAAAUAAUUGUCACUUUAUGGUACAAGUCACGCUGAUGGCAGGCAGUGAAUUUAGGGUUAGGGCUACUGGGGAAGGCCGCUUCUCUGUAGAUAACAAAUUAGCAUCUGAUUUAGAGACAUUUUCUUUAAAUCAUCUAGUUGGUUUUCCUUGCCAGACCCUGUACUUUGGGUAUUCUUUUUAUUUAUUUUUAUUUAAGUUCUAUCAUUUGACCUGAAGAGAAUGAUACUCUACGAACAAGUAUGGCUUCCUUGGGACUCUUUCUGAGUUGCUUUAUUUAUAUAACACUGCAUUUAUUUAUUUACUUAUCCUGCUGGAGGUUGAACCCAGGGCUUCACAGUGAGCUAUAUCCUCUGUCAUUUUUAUCAUUUUUAAAUUUUGAGACAGAGUCUUGCUAGGUUGUCAAAUUGCCCGGGCUCAAUUUUUGAGCCUUUGUGAUCUUCCUAUUAUCUUUCUUUUUAAAGGAAGAAUUUCCAAGUUUGUUAUAAGAUGAGAGGUAGUGAUUGGAAUCCACUGUGAGCCACUGGUUGGCAUUUCCCAGGUUUGAUGCAUUUCGGUCUGACCCGUUAUCCACCACGAGUCCAUGUCAAAACAGUCACAGAACCCUGUGCUCCACACCCUUCUGCUUCAG